AAACUCUGUUAUUAGGGAAGAACAUAUGUGUAAGUAACUGUGCACAUCUUGACGGUACCUAAUCAGAAAGCCACGGCUAACUACGUGCCAGCAGCCGCGGUAAUACGUAGGUGGCAAGCGUUAUCCGGAAUUAUUGGGCGUAAAGCGCGCGUAGGCGGUUUUUUAAGUCUGAUGUGAAAGCCCACGGCUCAACCGUGGAGGGUCAUUGGAAACUGGAAAACUUGAGUGCAGAAGAGGAAAGUGGAAUUCCAUGUGUAGCGGUGAAAUGCGCAGAGAUAUGGAGGAACACCAGUGGCGAAGGCGACUUUCUGGUCUGUAACUGACGCUGAUGUGCGAAAGCGUGGGGAUCAAACAGGAUUAGAUACCCUGGUAGUCCACGCCGUAAACGAUGAGUGCUAAGUGUUAGGGGGUUUCCGCCCCUUAGUGCUGCAGCUAACGCAUUAAGCACUCCGCCUGGGGAGUACGACCGCAAGGUUGAAACUCAAAGGAAUUGACGGC
rnacentral:rRNA from 1 species